GGUAAGAUGGCCGAGUGGUUAAGGCGGCUGGCUUAAGUUUCACACUUUGAUCCCAGCUGACGAGAGUCUCCUGGGUUCGAACCCCAGUCUUACCA